rnacentral:rRNA from 1 species
UACGGAGGGUGCAAGCGUUGUCCGGAUUUAUUGGGUUUAAAGGGUGCGUAGGCGGCUCUGUAAGUCAGCGUUGAAAUAUGGCAGCUUAACUGUCAGACUGGCAUUGAUACUGCAGGGCUUGAGUGAAGUCGAGGUUGGCGGAAUUGACGGUGUAGCGGUGAAAUGCAUAGAUAUCGUCAAGAACACCUAUUGCGAAGGCAGCUAACUAGACUUAACUGACGCUGAGGCACGAAAGCGUGGGGAUCAAACAGG